UUCUCCUGCAAAGGUGUGUCUGUGGUUCCUUGUCUGAACACGUAAGAAUUGGAGGUAAAGAAAUGUGGACUUGGAGAAGUCUGGGGCCAGCUUGCUCCCUGCAGGCUCAGGAUCAACUGUCCUACAUAG